AGCGAACGCUGGCGGCAGGCCUAACACAUGCAAGUCGAACGGCUCCUUCGGGAUUAGUGGCGGACGGGUGGGUAACACGUGGGAACAUGCACUUUGGUGCGGAAAAACUCAGGGAAACUUGAGCUAAUACCGGAUAUGACCUCCGGGGGAAAGAUUUAUCGCAAUUGGAGCGGCCCGCGUCCGAUUAGCUAGUUGGUGAGUUAACGGCCGACAAAGGCGACGAUCAGUAGCUGGUCUGAGAGGCGGAUCAGCCACACUGGGAUGGAGACACGGCCCAAACUCCUACGAGGGGCAGCAGUGUGGUAUCUUGCGGCAGGGGCGAAAGCCUGGCGCUUCCAUGCCGCGAGAAUGAUGAAGGUGUUAGGAUUGGAAAAUUCUUUCAGCGGGGUCGAUAAUGAGGAUACCCGCAGAAGACGCUCCGGCUAACCGCG
rnacentral:rRNA from 1 species